GAUGAACGCUGGCGGCGUGCCUAAUACAUGCAAGUCGAGCGAACGGACGAGAAGCUUGCUUUUCUGAUGUUAGCGGCGGACGGGUGAGUAACACGUGGAUAACCUACCUCUAAGACUGGGAUAACUUCGGGAAACCGGAGCUAAUAUCGGAUAAUAUUUUGAACCGCAUGGUUCAAAAGUGAAAGACGGUCUUGCUGUCACUUAUAGAUGGAUCCGCGCUGCAUUAGCUAGUUGGUAAGGUAACGGCUUACCAAGGCAACGAUGCAUAGCCGACCUGAGAGGGUGAUCGGCCACACUGGAACUGAGACACGGUCCAGACUCCUACGGGAGGCAGCAGUAGGGAAUCUUCCGCAAUGGGCGAAAGCCUGACGGAGCAACGCCGCGUGAGUGAUGAAGGUCUUCGGAUCGUAAAACUCUGUUAUUAGGGAAGAACAUAUGUGUAAGUAACUGUGCACAUCUUGACGGUACCUAAUCAGAAAGCCACGGCUAACUACGUG
rnacentral:rRNA from 1 species